rnacentral:rRNA from 1 species
UACGUAGGGGGCAAGCGUUGUCCGGAAUCAUUGGGCGUAAAGCGCGUGUAGGCGGCCCGAUAAGUCCGCUGUGAAAGUCCAGGGCUCAACCCUGGAAUGCCGGUGGAUACUGUCGGGCUCGAGUCCGGAAGAGGCGAGUGGAAUUCCUGGUGUAGCGGUGAAAUGCGUAGAUAUCUGGAGGAACACCGGUGGCGAAGGCGGCAUCCUGGACCGGCAUUGACGCUGAGGCGCGAAAGCCAGGGGAGCAAACGGG